CGAUUAAACAUUCGUUCUGGCGUCGAUAAACGACGAUAGUUUCAGAAGCGCCGUGUUAGACCAUACCUGAAGUCGUAGAUCGAGCCGUGCAUCUUCUUCAUGCACCUCAGGUGCCUGACAAGAUUGUCCUUUCUGCAGAUAGAGCUACCUUUUGGUAUUCUAUUGACAAACUGCGAAAAUACUAGUUUCAGAAUGUGAUAGGCAGCGAGGAAACUAUAUUCCAAAGGAACUAAUAAGGUAACCAUCUGGUAAAGAAAUCCUGGUACACCCCGUGGGACGUGUUUUAAAGUUGGAAGUAAAGUUUUAGGCGAACGGAAGAACCGGAUGCAUUAUUACCUGCCAGGGCAACGGCCUGUAAUGGGGCGAAGGAAAACCCCCGGAUCGCCACCAUAAAUUCCAUCGAUCUUUGAAUACAUUAUUGUCGCCGCUGUAUUCCCUCCAGCCGCGUUCCGUGCAAACCUGUGGAAAAAUAAAUGUGCACUGUUUACAAAGCAGAAUGGGUCACCACGACCGUUUCAGGGCACGGCGAGCAUGUAAACCAGUGGCAUCGCAGUGUCGUCCAAGGGGCGGACGGUGGAGCAGUGUGUAGCGUAGCCGACUACCAGGCAGGCAGCUCGGGUUCGAAUCUCGGCCGUCCGCCUCAGUUUUUCAAGGUAUAAAAGGUAUCGGAAGCCUGUGGCUUAAAUUUGAGAAGUAAUGAAAAGAUUAAGAUAAUAAAAACAGAGAUGUUAUGGAAAAAGAAAAGGUACACGAUAAGUGCAAUAGUCGAAAAUGUACAUGCACUCCUGAAUUUUAGGCUCAGGCGUCGUUUAAAUUCCAAAUAUUACGCAUUCCACGGUUGGCGAAGUUUGUAUCGCGCACGCGAAAAUAGUGGAGAACGCCUUUGAUUUAUUUGUCGUGUUAUUAGAGCAUUAGGAAUGGCUGCCGGCGAUAUAUUAAAACCGAGCCAAGGCCUCUAAUUACAAUUACAUCCGACUGCGCGUCCCUUUCUCGCUGUUACCGGUAGCCUACUUUUAUUAUUCGGCUGUAUAAUGGAGCGAUUUCUUACAACUUCGUAAUCGAUCCGCGGCGAAAGGACGUCGACACCAUUUACACCCCCGUUACCACAAUCCAGAAUCGUUUCGUCUCGCUAUUGAUAGUACGAGAAGAGGAAAUUGAAUCGCAGCCGCGGCUCGAUCGAAUGUUUCUUGAAUCGACGAGACGUUCUUUCGCUGCACAACUCGAACAAUGAAUCCUGCUCUAAUAAUAAACGAUCGACUGGGUUUGGCGUCGCGUUAGCUCGGUCUCCUUACCCAGAAUCUUCGACGGCAUCGUUUUUGCGCAACCCUACGCUCCGGCGACCGAAAAUCUAGACUCUGGGGCUAGACUGGUGCACUAUUUAUAUUGAAAUAAUUUGUUGUUAUCCAAACGAUGCCCAUCCUUGUCUCAGAGUCACAAUUAUAGAGGGUUCGCGAGGAGGAAAUGAUUGCAUAACGAAAACGACGCUACGGCUUGGCGUAAUGCUACCACCAAGAAUCUCUUAUCGAGGAAGCCAGCGAUUCGUACAAGGAAAACGGUCCUGUUAACCCUUUAUAGGACAGAACACCCUGGGCAUCUUUUUUUUUCACUUUUUCUUGUGGAUGAGCGUAGAAACUUACAAGUACAAAAUUUCCGCCCCUUCGUGGUAACGAGUAUCGGUGACCUAUAAAGGGUUAAUGCGAUAGACGACGACUCUAUUCUUCGCCCUUUUAUUAUUGCGUGUGGCACAUUGUUAAUAGCCCCCGCUGGUGGUUCUAAAAGUGGUGCACGCAAAAGCGCGUCGCAUCCCGUCAGACUCGGCAGGUAUGCACGUGCCUACGUACACCGUGCGUACCUUGAAAAGUAUUCAGUUCAAGGUCACGGCUAAGUUUGUAACCGUGCCGAACAAACACCGAGCGACAUAAAACCGUGACGUAACGUAUCCAACGUUCGCGUACACCCUACGGCAAAGGUUCUCUCUAAAUUUGGAAUUUUCAUCGCCGAAACGUUUUCACAGUCGGACGCGCUUUCGAUUUUCCGUUUUGUUUAACGAUAUUGUACCUGUAUGAGGAGAUGCGGUCCUGCACCAUUGUCGUUAAGUCUGAACACGAAGGGUCCGUCCAAGUACUUCACUGCCAUACCGGAACAUUGUACUCAAGCGGGAGACGGGAAGACAAUUUUAACAGAUCAUGACGCAACUCGAUGGGGAUUCUUCUUUUUCGAAGAACAGAGGAAACGGGGGUGCUCGUCUGGAAAUGAACGUCGAAUUGUCAGCGUGGCUAGUUGAAAUAUUCGAGCCAGAUGCGGAGACCAGGAUUAUGCAACGUUUCAAGUUUUAUGAGAAGUUAUAAAAGAAGAAUCAAAAGGCAUGAUUCGCUAUCUCACAACAUGGAGGAACAUAAACUUGAGUGGAGACCAAGGGUGGAAGACUAUAAAACGUUGUAUAUAUUUACUAUCUCGCAACAUGCAGAAAGAUAAACUUGAGUGUAGGCCAAUGUUUAAAUGUAAACCGUAAAUGUGAACAGUAUGCAUCACUUUCUUCGAUAACAAGACCACGCAAUUGAUCUCAUCCUGAGUAGUCUUCAGCGGCCAGUGAAAUCCUUCAGCGAGGGCUGGUCGUUCGUCGAGCCGACAUGCUCCGCGAGCAGCCUUUGGCAUUCAAAUAUUUCAACGGAACCGCAUGCAGGCGGGACGGAAUCCCAAUUUCCACUGGGUGCACCCGCCACGUUUAGGUCUACGCAAUCGCUUUGACCUGCUCGCAGGUGCGCAGGUUGCUCGUAUGCCGGAUUCCUCGACGCUGCUACAGCUUUUAUGGGCUUUCGGUGGACACCGCGACACCGCAAGGACACCGGAAGUCUACCAGGUCGCGGCUCUGCGAAAGAAUUCCGCUGAUAACCGCUCGCGCUGAUAGUUAUCCUCGACACGCGACCCUUCGCUUGCGGUUCAGACUAGUCCAAUAAUUAAAUACUCCAGUGUAUCUAUCUCACGACAUGGAGGAAGAUAAACUUGAGUGGAGACCAAGGCUGUGAACGUUUCAAGUUUUAUAAAAGAAGUUUUAAUUAAAACCUGAAGUGUAUCUAUCUCACGACAUGGAGGAAGAUAAACUUGAGCGUAGACCAAGGCUAUGCAGUGUUUUAAGUUUUAUAUAAAAAGAAUCAAAGAGUAUCACGCUGGCAGAAUGAUACCAAAUAAUCUAGUAAACGUAGGUGAAAUGAUUAGGCCCGCUUGGCUGCCCGACUAAAGGAAAGUGUCAGGUGCUGACGGGUCAAGUUCAAGCUUCUCACGCG